rnacentral:rRNA from 1 species
UAGCCUACCAAGGCGAUGACGGGUAGCCGGUCUGAGAGGACGACCGGCCACACUGGGACUGAGACACUGCCCAGACUCCUACGGGAGGCUGCAGUCGAGAAUCUUCCGCAAUGGACGCAAGCCUGACGGAGCGACACCGCGUGCAGGAUGAAGGCCCUCGGGUUGUAAACUGCUGUCACGCUAUAGGAACGACCUGGUUAACGGCCAGGUGUGACCAAAGCGAGAGGAAGCACCGGCUAAUUCCGUGCCAGCAGCCGCGGUAAGACGGAGGGUGCAAACGUUGUUCGGAAUCACUGGGCAUAAAGCGCACGUAGGCGGUCCAUUAAGUCGGAUGUGAAAGCCCUCGGCUCAACCGGGGAACUGCAUUCGAUACUGGUGGACUCGAGGAUGGUUGGGGUGAGUGGAACUCCUGGUGGAGCGGUGAAAUGCGUAGAUAUCAGGAGGAACACCAGUGGCGAAAGCAACUCACUGGACCAUAUCUGACGCUGAGGUGCGAAAGCUAGGGGAGCGAACGGGAUUAGAUACCUCGGUAGUCCUAGCCGUAAACGAUGGGCACUAGGUAGCGGGAACGCCUAUGGUUCUCUCUGCCGU